GUGCUAGCUUUGGUAGCACAAAUCCUAAAAUUGGAAGGAUACAGAAAAGAUCAUCAUGGCCCUUGCACAAGGACGAUAUACAAAUUUAUGAAGUGUUCCUUUUUUAU